rnacentral:rRNA from 1 species
UACAGAGGUCUCAAGCGUUGUUCGGAUUCAUUGGGCGUAAAGGGUGCGUAGGCGGCGCGGUAAGUCGGGUGUGAAAUCUCGGGCUUAACUCCGAAACUGCAUUCGAUACUGCCGUGCUUGAGGACUGGAGAGGAGACUGGAAUUCAUGGUGUAGCAGUGAAAUGCGUAGAGAUCAUGAGGAAGACCAGUGGCGAAGGCGGGUCUCUGGACAGUUCCUGACACUGAGACACGAAGGCCAGGGGAGCAAACGGG